rnacentral:rRNA from 1 species
UACGAAGGGGGGCUAGCGUUGCUCGGAAUCACUGGGCGUAAAGGGCGCGUAGGCGGCCGAUUAAGUCGGGGGUGAAAGCCUGUGGCUCAACCACAGAAUUGCCUCGAUACUGGUUGGCUUGAGACCGGAAGAGGACAGCGGAACUGCGAGUGUAGAGGUGAAAUUCGUAGAUAUUCGCAAGAACACCAGUGGCGAAGGCGGCUGUCUGGUCCGGUUCUGACGCUGAGGCGCGAAAGCGUGGGGAGCAAACAGG